rnacentral:misc_RNA from 1 species
UUUCCGUAGGUGAACCUGCGGAAGGAUCAUUAUUGAAUAAAGCCUGGCAGAUUGUUGCUGUUCCCUUUCAAUGGUCAACGUGCACAUCAGCCACAUUUAUUUGUCCACCUGUGCACCCAAUGUAGGCUUGGAUUGGAUUAAGAAUCUGCCCAUCUGGGCAGCAUUCUAGCCUCUUCAGUCUAUGUGUUUUUCACAUACACCAUACCAUACAUCAUUAGAAUGACCAUAAUCAUAGGUCUUUGCACCUAUAAUAAAACAAUACAACUUUCAGCAACGGAUCUCUUGGCUCUCGCAUCGAUGAAGAACGCAGC